rnacentral:rRNA from 1 species
GACGAACGCUGGCGGCGCGCUUAGCACAUGCAAGUCGAGCGAGAACCGGGGCUUCGGCCCCGGGGACAGCGGCGAACGGGUGAGUAACACGUGGGUAAUCUGCCCUCGGCACCGGAAUAGCCCGGGGAAACCCGGAUUAAUGCCGGAUGGCCUCUCGUGCCCUCGGGCGCGAGGGAAAAGGUAGCUUCGGCCUCCGGCCGAGGAGGAGCCCGCGGCGGAUUAGCUUGUUGGCGGGGUAACGGCCCACCAAGGCGACGAUCCGUAGCUGGUCUGAGAGGACGAUCAGCCACACUGGGACUGAGACACGGCCCAGACUCCUACGGGAGGCAGCAGUGGGGAAUCUUGCGCAAUGGGCGAAAGCCUGACGCAGCGACGCCGCGUGAGGGAAGAAGGCCUUCGGGUUGUAAACCUCUUUCAGGAGGGACGAAGCCACUCGGGUUAACAGCCCAGAGGGUGACGGUACCUCCAGAAGAAGCCCCGGCUAACUACGUGCCAGCAGCCGCCGUAACAC